rnacentral:tRNA from 1 species
GCCUCCGUAGCUCAGUCGGUAGAGCGACGGUUUUGUAAACCGUAGGUCGAGGGUUCGAUUCCCUCCGGGGGCU